rnacentral:rRNA from 2 species
CCAAACUGUUGCCUCGGCGGGGUCACGCCCCGGGUGCGUCGCAGCCCCGGAACCAGGCGCCCGCCGGAGGGACCAACCAAACUCUUUCUGUAGUCCCCUCGCGGACGUUAUUUCUUACAGCUCUGAGCAAAAAUUCAAAAUGAAUCAAAACUUUCAACAACGGAUCUCUUGGUUCUGGCAUCGAUGAAGAACGCAGCGAAAUGCGAUAAGUAAUGUGAAUUGCAGAAUUCAGUGAAUCAUCGAAUCUUUGAACGCACAUUGCGCCCGCCAGUAUUCUGGCGGGCAUGCCUGUCCGAGCGUCAUUUCAACCCUCGAACCCCUCCGGGGGGUCGGCGUUGGGGAUCGGGAACCCCUAAGACGGGAUCCCGGCCCCGAAAUACAGUGGCGGUCUCGCCGCAGCCUCUCCUGCGCAGUAGUUUGCACAACUCGCACCGGGAGCGCGGCGCGUCCACGUCCGUAAAACACCCAACUUCUGAAAUGUUGACCUCGGAUCAGGUAGGAAUACCCGCUGAACUUAAGCAUAUCAAUAAGCGGAGGAA